rnacentral:lncRNA from 1 species
CAAGAUCCAACCCAUCGCGUCAAUUCGACAGGGCUACCGUUUUCAUCCACGUACGGGGCGAUCAUCGUCGCACAAGCAAGAGAGCAGACGUAUGGCGGCGACGGCGACCGCAACGGGGGCAUUGCGUCGGGUGCUGCUGCCGGCGAUCAGGCGGCGACUCACCACCGCUACCGGGCAGCCCCUCAUCUCCUUCACCGACGCCCGCGCCGGCACCACCAAGGUUGGCGUCCGUCCGUCCGUCCACCGACAUGGAUUAUUUCAGAGGGAUGAACUAUUUAGGAAACCUUUUGCUCGCGAUCCAUUGCAAUCGUUUCUUACGUCCGUGGGAAUUUCAAAAUUUUGCAGGCUCAUCAGGCGGAGGUUGCUGCGCGUCGGCUGCUCAGGAAGUACGCCUCUUGCUUCCCUGCCAUCGGCCAGCACUUUACUGAGAAAGCACACAUGUGAUCUUUCAUUUGAUCCAUCGCUGACAAAUAAUGGUGUUAUUCUUCCUCGUGCAGGCAAAAGCUGCGGGAAGAUGGACUGAGCGGUAUGUUUAACCAGGUCGGGGUGUGGUCGAUGCUCACGGGCGCGGCCCCCUUUGCGUUGGUGUACGGUUGGUACCUUCUCAGAAGGGACAGCAAACCUCAAGAUUGCUCUCAUCAGGGUGGUUACGGCCCGGCAAUAUCUUCGAUAUAUGAGAGCUAGCUAGGUCAGCUCGAACUCGGGCUCGAUAUAGGGUCAGUACUCGGUAUGGAUUAUUUAGUCGAGCACGGCCAGUGCCUAGCUAUGUUGGACGCACUGAGAUCACACAAGAGGAGUGGAGGCAGUGGUUAAAGGAAAAGAACCAUGGUCGGUGUUAUAUAGAUAGAACUAGAUCAUUGUUGGCGCGUGUUGCUGCGCCCGUCUAUUUUAAAGUUUUCUUGACAAAGAGAUUUAUAAUUUCUUUUUAUAUAUAAUGAAGACAAGA